UGUCCACUGGAACAAAAUAUCAUGGGC
rnacentral:piRNA from 1 species